UUGGGGUGGGGUGACUGCGUACCUUUUGUAUAAUGGGUCAGCGACUUAUAUUCUGUAGCAAGGUUAACCGUAUAGGGGAGCCGAAGGGAAACCGAGUCUUAACUGGGCGUUAAGUUGCAGGGUAUAGACCCGAAACCCGGUGAUCUAGCCAUGGGCAGGUUGAAGGUUGGGUAACACUAACUGGAGGACCGAACCGACUAAUGUUGAAAAAUUAGCGGAUGACUUGUGGCUGGGGGUGAAAGGCCAAUCAAACCGGGAGAUAGCUGGUUCUCCCCGAAAGCUAUUUAGGUAGCGCCUCGUGAACUCAUCUUCGGGGGUAGAGCACUGUUUCGGCUAGGGGGUCAUCCCGACUUACCAACCCGAUGCAAACUGCGAAUACCGAAGAAUGUUAUCACGGGAGACACACGGCGGGUGCUAACGUCCGUCGUGAAGAGGGAAACAACCCAGACCGCCAGCUAAGGUCCCAAAGUCACAGUUAAGUGGGAAACGAUGUGGGAAGGCUCAGACAGCCAGGAUGUUGGCUUAGAAGCAGCCAUCAUUUAAAGAAAGCGUAAUAGCUCACUGGUCGAGUCGGCCUGCGCGGAAGAUGUAACGGGGCUAAACUGUGCACCGAAGCUGCGGCAGCGACGCUUAUGCGUUGUUGGGUAGGGGAGCGUUCUGUAAGCCUGCGAAGGUGUCCUGUGAGGGAUGCUGGAGGUAUCAGAAGUGCGAAUGCUGACAUAAGUAACGAUAAUGCGGGUGAAAAGCCCGCUCGCCGGAAGACCAAGGGUUCCUGUCCAACGUUAAUCGGGGCAGGGUGAGUCGACCCCUAAGGCGAGGCCGAAAGGCGUAGUCGAUGGGAAACGGGUUAAUAUUCCCGUACUUGGUGUUACUGCGAAGGGGGGACGGAGAAGGCUAUGUUGGCCGGGCGACGGUUGUCCCGGUUUAAGCGUGUAGGCUGGUUUUCCAGGCAAAUCCGGAAAAUCAAG
rnacentral:rRNA from 2 species